rnacentral:lncRNA from 1 species
AUAUAUUCCUGAAAAGUUUCCGACUUUCUGAUUUACCCCUCUUUGAAGGCUAAUAUUGAAAAUACUUUUUUUACGUUCCAACCUAUUUCAAAUAUACCCCUAGAGUUAAAAUCUGUUAAUGAAUUAUGUUAUCUAUAUAAAAUUACUAUUUUGCCCUUUUAAAUAUACCCUUCCACCAUCACCGACUUUUAACUCACGUUUAAUCCAAGUUAACUUAACGAAUGGAAACUGUAGGAAUAUUUUGGAAUAACAGAGAAACAUACGAGGGGUAUAUUAGAAAGAAAAAAAAAAAAAGUAAGAAUAAAUGAGAUAUUUUUAAAGUUCUGAGAGGUAUAUAGGCAAUUAUUUCAAUAAAAUAUUGACCUGUAUAUAAUGUAGAGGAUAUUUUUAUUUAUU